GGAGACAACAUGGCGUCACGGCCGGAGCUCUUACCGACCGUCAUCGGCUUUUUGUAAAAAAGAUGCCAGAAGUGAAAUCUUCUGGUUGAGUUGCAGUAGAUGUCUGAUGGACAUCACCAAGUCUCUCUGAUGUCCAUCAUCUCCAGCUGGAAACGAGAGGGAAGAGGGAGCAGCAGCUGUCCGGAGGAUUCAGGAGGAAGACGUCGAGGGGAAAGGUAGCCAGAGGGAGUCCGUGGUGGUGCUACCCCUGGAGGCCCACCAGCUCGCAGCUCUUCUUCCACAGCCGGGCUUGGAGCUCGGCGUCGUAGGAGCUGUCGGAGGACUGCGU